rnacentral:lncRNA from 1 species
UUGCCUUCCCACGAAAGAAAGGUUUCUUUCAGUCUUCAGAAGGUUUCCUUUCUUAUCUUUUUUACUCGUGCUCCCUCCGUGGGAUCGCCGGCCAUCAACCUACAAUCGCUGUCGUGGGUCUUUGUUGCGCCUCCGUCGCUAUUUCCCUCAUCUGGAGAUCCUGCUCAAAGCCCCACAAAAGAUUGAUAAGGCGGCUUUGUGUCCAUGCCAGGUUCUGAUUUUUGUUGAAAUGCCGUUUCAAUGUUCAUGUUUCAGAACUCUCUAGUUUUUGCUGUUUUGUAGCUCUAAGCUAUCUUCAGAUCUAUUUACAGAACUCUCUGUUUGCAAGUUUUAUUUGAUUAUUUGUUACGUUGAUGGUUAACAUUCAUCGACUGCAAUACCUUAGAAAUCUUUCUAAAACAGAACUCGAACUUCAGAUUUUUUGCAUCAAAAUAUAGUUGUCACUGCAUGAGUUCUAAGCUUGCAGUGUUUUCCUGGAGAAAUUAUAGAUGAUCUGGUAAAAGAGCCAGCAGCCUGUUACCUUUUAGAAUCAUUUUAGAUAUUUAUCCAUUUUGAUCAUUUUAUCUUUGCUUUGCAUAUCCCAAAGCUAGUUUUUUUUUUUUUUUGGCCACAAUGGAUGCCCGGAUAGAUUUAGUACAAAUACAUUCAAAAAAAUCAGAAAAUAACAGCGGCUUUAGGCAGCUCCUUUUUAUCAGUUAAUUAACUUCUCAGAAUGAUUUGCUACAAAUGAAGCAAUUCAAACCGCUGCUCUAUCUCAAAAUAGUUUUUGACAUCAAAAUACAUCUCCUACUAUUUUUUUUUUAAUUUUUAAUUUUUAUUUUUUUGCUGGCUAAAAGCGGACCCGCUGAGUGUCUUGGGCCACAUUUUAGGCGUUGGACGGUUAAACCAUGGCUGUACACCUUCCAUUUUAGGUGCGAGGAACGGCAGCUGGCACCCGCCAGUCAUCACUCAGCAAAACAUAACUAACACUCGUCCCCGCUCAUCGCUGAAACCUAAUUCCACGGUUCACCAGGGGAUUCUCAAAGGCGCCAGGAAAGACUACCAGCCCAGAGGAGAACGACGGAGGCCGUGGGGCAGACUGUGGGAAGAGCAGGCUACAAUGUUUCCAGUGAUGUUUGCCAUGGGAUUCCUGCUCUGCCCCUUCACUCUCUGCGUCCCUCCAAUCAGGAAUCUCCCUCAAUUCCUCCUCGAGCUUCAGACCCUGUUGAUCACCACCUUCCACCACUUCCAGCUAGAGUUAGCUUACCUCUCCAACUCCAUAACAAGGCACGCUUGAAGAUAUUGGCGACGGCUUCCUCUAGCGUGAGAUGGUCUGCGCAUGCAAGGCUUUGAGAUUCCCUGACAGCAGAUUGCAGUGCUACUUGCUACUGGGUGUCAAGUGAGAAACAAUAUUGAGUCCUUAGUUGUGACCCUUUACAUACCGUAAUAUGUAACUCCACAAGCCAUUAAUCAGAAAAGGCUUUCUAAGUGUUUGUAAUGGGUGGAUCCGUCAUCCACAGGACUCGAUACUGUGGAAUUUAUAGGGUCUUUUAUCCCACUUCCUAAUCUUAUCUAUGCAUAAACUUCAUUUUCCAUGAGCCCAGAGAACUUUUUGGGAUGCCUCGAGGUAGUAAGGUGGUAGAACGGCGGUAUUUUGAAUGAGCAACGACCAGCUCACUGUAACGUCUCCCCCUGCGAUGCUGCUAGUCUUUAUAUGCAACCAUGUAUGAGCUGCUUCAACCGUGCAAUUUAGAUACAGCUAGCAUUUGUAGGCAAGUUUUUUCAUGUGGGUUAC